AAUAUUUCACAAUGGGCGAAAGCCUGAUGCAGCGACGCCGCGUGAGGGAUGACGGCCUUCGGGUUGUAAACCUCUUUCAGUAGGGAAGAAGCGAGAGUGACGGUACCUACAGAAGAAGCGCCGGCUAACUACGUGCCAGCAGCCGCGGGAAUACGUAGGGCGCAAGCGUUGUCCGGAAUUAUGGGGCGUAAAGAGCUAGGAGGGGGUUUGUCGGUUCUGCGGUGAAAACCCGGGGCUCAACCUCGGGCUUGCAGUGGGUACGGGCAGACUAGAGUGUGGUAGGGGAGACUGGAAUUCCUGGUGUAGCGGUGGAAUGCGCAAAUAUCAGGAGGAACACCGAUGGCGAAGGCAGGUCUCUGGGCCACAACUGACGCUGAGGAGCAAAAGCAUGGGUAGCGAACA
rnacentral:rRNA from 1 species